ensembl:snoRNA SNORA70 Small nucleolar RNA SNORA70
CUGCAGCCAUUUAAGCCGACUGUGCUCUUCUCCUCGUAGAAGGGCCUGGUGUGCAACGGCUGCAAACAGCAGCCUUCUUGGUCGUGUAUGCAGCCUGUUGCCCAUAUGGGUUGCCCUAAGGGACCCUAGAGAUAGCC